rfam:Trichobilharzia regenti genome assembly, scaffold: TRE_scaffold0058024
GUACUGCUGAAGAGUCCCAAACUAGGACGAAACAGCUGUGCAGUAC